AAUAGAUACCCCGGUAGUCCACGCCGUAAACGAUGAGUGCUAAGUGUUAGAGGGUUUCCGCCCUUUAGUGCUGCAGCUAACGCAUUAAGCACUCCGCCUGGGGGAGUACGGCCGCAAGGCUGAAACUCAAAGGAAUUGACGGGGGGCCCGCACAAGCGGUGGAGCAUGUGGUUUAAUUCGAAGCAACGCGAAGAACCUUACCAGGUCUUGACAUCCUCUGACACUCCUAGAGAUAGGACGUUCCCCCUUCGGGGGGACAGAGUGACAGGUGGUGCAUGGUUGUCGUCAGCUCGUGUCGUGAGAUGUUGGGUUAAGUCCCGCAACGAGCGCAACCCUUGAUCUUAGUUGCCAGCAUUUAGUUGGGCACUCUAAGGUGACUGCCGGUGACAAACCGGAGGAAGGUGGGAAUGACGUCAAAUCAUCAUGCCCCUUAUGACCUGGGCUACACACGUGCUACAAUGGAUGGUACAAAGGGCAGCGAAGCCGCGAGGUGAAGCCAAUCCCAUAAAACCAUUCUCAGUUCGGAUUGCAGG
rnacentral:rRNA from 1 species